rnacentral:rRNA from 1 species
GGGCCCGCACAAGCGGUGGAGCAUGUGGUUUAAUUCGAUGCAACGCGAAGAACCUUACCAAGCCUUGACAUCCUCGGAACUUUCCAGAAAUGGAUUGGUGCCUUCGGGAACCGAGUGACAGGUGCUGCAUGGCUGUCGUCAGCUCGUGUCGUGAGAUGUUGGGUUAAGUCCCGUAACGAGCGCAACCCUUGUCCUUAGUUGCCAGCACUUCGGGUGGGAACUCUAACGGGACUGCCGGUGCAAACCGUGAGGAAGGUGGGGACGACGUCAAAUCAUCACGGCCCUUACGUCCUGGGCUACACACGUGCUACAAUGGUCGGUACAGAGGGAAGCUACCCCGUAAGGGGAUGCG